GGUUAAGCGACUAAGCGUACACGGUGGAUGCCCUGGCAGUCAGAGGCGAUGAAGGACGUGCUAAUCUGCGAAAAGCGCCGGCGAGGUGAUAUGAACCCUUGACCCGGCGAUGUCCGAAUGGGGAAACCCAGUGCAAUCCGUUGCACUAUCGUUAACUGAAUACAUAGGUUAACGAGGCGAACCGGGGGAACUGAAACAUCUAAGUACCCCGAGGAAAAGAAAUCAACCGAGAUUCCCCCAGUAGCGGCGAGCGAACGGGGAGCAGCCCGGAGUCUGAAUCAGCUUGUGUGUUAGUGGAACGGUCUGGAAAGUCCGACGGUACAGGGUGAUAGUCCCGUACACGAAAAUGCACAGGUUGUGAACUCGAAGAGUAGGGCGGGACACGUGGUAUCCUGUCUGAAUAUGGGGGGACCAUCCUCCAAGGCUAAAUACUCCUGACUGACCGAUAGUGAACCAGUACCGUGAGGGAAAGGCGAAAAGAACCCCGGCGAGGGGAGUGAAAAAGAACCUGAAACCGUGUACGUACAAGCAGUGGGAGCCUCUUUAUGGGGUGACUGCGUACCUUUUGUAUAAUGGGUCAGCGACUUAUAUUCUGUAGCAAGGUUAACCGUAUAGGGGAGCCGAAGGGAAACCGAGUCUUAACUGGGCGUUAAGUUGCAGGGUAUAGACCCGAAACCCGGUGAUCUAGCCAUGGGCAGGUUGAAGGUUGGGUAACACUAACUGGAGGACCGAACCGACUAAUGUUGAAAAAUUAGCGGAUGACCUGUGGCUGGGGGUGAAAGGCCAAUCAAACCGGGAGAUAGCUGGUUCUCCCCGAAAGCUAUUUAGGUAGCGCCUCGUGAAUUCAUCUUCGGGGGUAGAGCACUGUUUCGGCUAGGGGGCCAUCCCGGCUUACCAACCCGAUGCAAACUACGAAUACCGAAGAAUGUUAUCACGGGAGACACACGGCGGGUGCUAACGUCCGUCGUGAAGAGGGAAACAACCCAGACCGCCAGCUAAGGUCCCAAAGUCAUGGUUAAGUGGGAAACGAUGUGGGAAGGCACAGACAGCCAGGAUGUUGGCUUAGAAGCAGCCAUCAUUUAAAGAAAGCGUAAUAGCUCACUGGUCGAGUCGGCCUGCGCGGAAGAUGUAACGGGGCUAAACCAUGCACCGAAGCUGCGGCAGCGACACUAUGUGUUGUUGGGUAGGGGAGCGUUCUGUAAGCCGUUGAAGGUGUGCUGUGAGGCAUGCUGGAGGUAUCAGAAGUGCGAAUGCUGACAUAAGUAACGAUAAAGCGGGUGAAAAGCCCGCUCGCCGGAAGACCAAGGGUUCCUGUCCAACGUUAAUCGGGGCAGGGUGAGUCGACCCCUAAGGCGAGGCCGAAAGGCGUAGUCGAUGGGAAACAGGUUAAUAUUCCUGUACUUGGUGUUACUGCGAAGGGGGGACGGAGAAGGCUAUGUCAGCCGGGCGACGGUUGUCCCGGUUUAAGCAUGUAGGCGGAGGUUCCAGGUAAAUCCGGUACCUUUUAACGCUGAGGUGUGAUGACGAGGCACUACGGUGCUGAAGUGAUAAAUGCCCUGCUUCCAGGAAAAGCCUCUAAGCAUCAGGUAACACGAAAUCGUACCCCAAACCGACACAGGUGGUCAGGUAGAGAAUACCAAGGCGCUUGAGAGAACUCGGGUGAAGGAACUAGGCAAAAUGGUGCCGUAACUUCGGGAGAAGGCACGCUGAUGUGUAGGUGAAGCCCCUGCGGGCGGAGCUGAAAUCAGUCGAAGAUACCAGCUGGCUGCAACUGUUUAUUAAAAACACAGCACUGUGCAAACACGAAAGUGGACGUAUACGGUGUGACGCCUGCCCGGUGCCGGAAGGUUAAUUGAUGGGGUUAGCGGCAACGCGAAGCUCUUGAUCGAAGCCCCGGUAAACGGCGGCCGUAACUAUAACGGUCCUAAGGUAGCGAAAUUCCUUGUCGGGUAAGUUCCGACCUGCACGAAUGGCGUAAUGAUGGCCAGGCUGUCUCCACCCGAGACUCAGUGAAAUUGAACUCGCUGUGAAGAUGCAGUGUACCCGCGGCAAGACGGAAAGACCCCGUGAACCUUUACUAUAGCUUGACACUGAACACUGGUCCUUGAUGUGUAGGAUAGGUGGGAGGCUUUGAAGCGUGGACGCCAGUCUGCGUGGAGCCAACCUUGAAAUACCACCCUUUAAUGGCUGGUGUUCUAACGUGGACCCGUAAUCCGGGUUGCGGACAGUGUCUGGUGGGUAGUUUGACUGGGGCGGUCUCCUCCCAAAGAGUAACGGAGGAGCACGAAGGUUGGCUAAUCCUGGUCGGACAUCAGGAGGUUAGUGCAAUGGCAUAAGCCAGCUUGACUGCGAGCGUGACGGCGCGAGCAGGUGCGAAAGCAGGUCAUAGUGAUCCGGUGGUUCUGAAUGGAAGGGCCAUCGCUCAACGGAUAAAAGGUACUCCGGGGAUAACAGGCUGAUACCGCCCAAGAGUUCAUAUCGACGGCGGUGUUUGGCACCUCGAUGUCGGCUCAUCACAUCCUGGGGCUGAAGUAGGUCCCAAGGGUAUGGCUGUUCGCCAUUUAAAGUGGUACGCGAGCUGGGUUUAGAACGUCGUGAGACAGUUCGGUCCCUAUCUGCCGUGGGCGCUGGAGAAUUGAGGGGGGCUGCUCCUAGUACGAGAGGACCGGAGUGGACGCAUCACUGGUGUUCGGGUUGUCAUGCCAAUGGCACUGCCCGGUAGCUAAAUGCGGAAGAGAUAAGUGCUGAAAGCAUCUAAGCACGAAACUUGCCCCGAGAUGAGUUCUCCCUGAGACCUUGAGUCUCCUGAAGGAACGUUAAAGACGAUGACGUUGAUAGGUCGGGUGUGUAAGCGCAGCGAUGCGUUGAGCUAACCGAUACUAAUGAACCGUGAGGCUUAACCUU
rnacentral:rRNA from 1 species